rnacentral:misc_RNA from 1 species
AGAAAAUAAGAUUUUUCUUUUUAUAAAUAAGAAAUCUUGAAUAAAAAUAAAAAUAUGAAAGACAAGCGGAAGUGAGGAGAAACUGAAGAGAAUUGGUAAACAGAGAGUAACAGACAGAGUCCUAACCGAUGGUUUAUUGUCUUAUUGGUUAUCAAACGGAGACGUAAUUUGGCAGGCUAAGGUAGCCGAGCCAAAUCCCGAUGUCGCAACCCAAGCCACCCCACUUAUUCCCUUUUUUGUUCACGCGCUUAUCCACGUCCCGGCGAUCCAUCUCUUUAAUUCCCCUACUCUUACGGCCCAUGCGUCCGGCGCGUCACCUUCGCCGCACCGACCCCGUUUUCUUGUAUUUUUUCUUGGUCAGAGAUCCCCUUUACUCUUUAACCUUAUCUCUCACAUCAAUAUCACACAAAUCGAUAAUAACCUAAUUCACCACCAACGAUACGACCACCACCACCACCACCAUUAGAUCAGAGCGAUGGGUGACCUCACCGAUUCUGUUACGCCGUCCACCACACCUCACUCCAGACCCUUGCCUAUACGUGAGGAUUGCUGGAGCGAGGAGGCUACAUCCACUCUUGUCGAAGUUUGGGGCAAGCGAUAUUUGGAGCUCAACCGAGGUAAUCUACGUCAGAAGGACUGGCAGGAAGUGGCCGAUGCCGUUAACGCCAAACAUGGCCAUACGAAGAAGACUCACCGUACGGAUGUGCAGUGUAAGAACCGAAUCGACACGAUUAAGAAAAAGUACAAGAUCGAGAAGGCUAGGGUUACCUCCUCUAACGGAAUGUUGACAUCUUCGUGGCCAUUCUUUGAGAGCUUAGAUGCCUUGAUCGGAUCUAAUUUCACUGCUAAGAAACAAGCUUCUCCGUCUCCUCCGGUGGCUCUGCCUGUAACUACCUACAGGAGGACUCCCACUUCGACUCCGCCUACGGCGGUGGUGGCUUUGCCCCAGAAGAGGCCGUUGGAUGACGGCUAUUUCAGGAGGAAUUACUCGGCCAUGGCUGCAGCUGCUGCAGCUGAAUCGGAGAGUGAAGAAGAGGACGAGGAGGAGGAGAGGGAAAGGGAGAGGGAGAGUGGAUGGUAA